GAUGGACUACAUCCUCACACUGUGAACCAAAGCAAUCCCUCCAUUGAGUUGCUUUUCAGCUUUUUUGUUGGGUUUUGCAAUUCUGAAAAUUCAUCCCAGCCAAACAUUGAGUCAUGCCCCCAGUCCUUCAGUAGCCUUUUGUCACCGGCAGUGAAAAGUGUCUGUCUCCAGAUGGCUCAUUAGACCCAAGAAGCAAUUCUCUUUCAUUUAUAAUAUCUGCAAGUAUUUGAAUUGAUACUGAUAUCUCCAGAUUUUGUUGAAAGCUGCUGUGCAGGUCCCAGCUGUUCCAUGUCUUCAUGGCAGAUCAGAUGUAUGUGGCUGUCUGCAAGCAGAGUGUAAAAGAUGGAACAGAUUGUUUCCUUAGGUGCACACAGGCUGACACUCUGCAGAUGCACACAUGCCAUUGAAAUAAACCACGAGUGUUGUAUGGCUUCCAGAGCCCUGCCUGUGCCUGUACCUCUUCCUCUUCCACUCAAGAACUCCUGUUAGCAGAUCAUGAGUUUUACUACUUGACAGCAGUCAUCAGCACCCG
ensembl:processed_transcript predicted gene 12655